CCUUCCUGACAUCCUAACACUAAAGAUUUUAUUUUACUGCCUCACCAAAAGUCGCUCGAAAACACACAAGGGCUUUUACCCUCUAUUAAGCUCACCUCUCUGCCUUUUACCACUCAGUUCUUUCAACAAUUGCUUCUAGGAACAAUCAAUGAACUCAAUCAAUCAAUCAAAUCGUGUAGAAUUCUCCAAACCGGAUGUGACUCAAUAAUUGUAACAAAGGACUCAAAGAAAACUUUUAAAGCUUGACUUGAAUUGAAGGAAUGGAAUGAUUUAAUGUGUCCAAGUAAUUUAGAAACGAUAAUGAAUAAUAAAAGUUAGUAUUUGACGGAUCAAUAAUAUUUAACAAGUUUUUUUUUACUGUACGGAUGAACAGUAAUUUUUUUUAGAUCUGGAAAUAAAUAACAAAACCAACAAAGAAAA
rnacentral:lncRNA from 1 species